rnacentral:rRNA from 1 species
UGGGGAAUAUUGCACAAUGGGCGAAAGCCUGAUGCAGCAACGCCGCGUGCGGGAUGACGGCCUUCGGGCUGUAAACCGCUUUCAGCAGGGACGAAGGUUUUCUGACGGUACCUGCAGAAGAAGCACCGGCUAACUACGUGCCAGCAGCCGCGGUGAUACGUAGGGUGCGAGCGUUGUCCGGAAUUAUUGGGCGUAAAGAGCUUGUAGGCGGUCCGUUGCGUCGGAAGUGAAAACUCAGGGCUUAACCCUGAGCCUGCUUUCGAUACGGGCGGACUUGAGGGAUGUAGGGGAGAACGGAAUUCCUGGUGGAGCGGUGGAAUGCGCAGAUAUCAGGAGGAACACCAGUGGCGAAGGCGGUUCUCUGGACAUUUCCUGACGCUGAGAAGCGAAAGCGUGGGGAGCAAACAGGCUUAGAUACCCUGGUAGUCCACGCCGUAAACGGUGGGCACUAGGUGUGGGACCCAUUCCACGGGUUCCGUGCCGUAGCUAACGCAUUAAGUGCCCCGCCUGGGGAGUACGGCCGCAAGGCUAAAACUCAAAU